AUAUUGAAAAAAUGAAUACAACUAUAUUUAAUUAUUGUUUUAAAGGGUCACUAGCUACGAGAUAUAUGAAAAACCUAAUGUUUUAAUUUUUUUUAGAUCAAUCAGUAAUGAAAUACAAAUAGUGAAAUAAUAUUUCCUUUUUAGUAGCCAAUAAGAUUCAAUUUUGUCAAAAUAAGCAAACAAAAAGUGAUUAUGACUUAUUCACUUGCAAGUGAAUAAGUCGACCUCAUUGAAUCCGAAUUCUGUGAACUUAAUUUAACCUCUUAGCAUGAGAUGGAUAGCACAUGAAUUGUAUGGGUAAAGUUAUUUAAAGGAAGAGAAUGUCAACAUUGAAAGUGAAACAAAGGAAGAGAAUCACAUUGAAGUGACAAAGGUAUCAUUUGAUUGACUGAAACGAUCAACAAAUAAACAUUCUAAUACAGGUAAAACGAUGAUAAACAUUUAUUUUUUAUCUGUAAUAUGAAAUUAAAUAGACCUAGAAUAAUUCAACA
rnacentral:lncRNA from 1 species